rnacentral:lncRNA from 1 species
UUUUUUUGUUCAGUUUUGUUUCAAAAUAAAAAUCACACAUUGUUUAGAGAGACAAUCUACAACAGGAGAUACAAAAAAUAUAGUUGCCCAGGCAACAAGCACACACACACACACACAGGUUUCUGUUAAAACUAUACACAUUAUGGUUACAGAUGGUGCUCCUAUUCAGAUACACGCUGCUCCAAAUGUACACAUGCCGCUGCCCACCGCCGCCACAAUAGUCCUGGUUACGGACGGCGAGACAGGCGACGCCCGGGCCUUUACCGGGGGACAUUAUGAUACAUCACUUUUACAGGACUAUUAUUUAGGUACAAAAAAAAGCACACCACGCUGCUGCCGUCUUUUGUACGACCCAUGGUUUCACUGUACCUGAGAGAGCAGAGGGGUUCGAGGUAGACUCAGCCAUAUGACAUAGUACACAGUGGGAGCUACUUCCUGCUUCCAGACAUCAGUAAAAACACAAUUCAUAUAUUAUAUGCCAAGACCGCCACUGACGGCUCUUCUCAAUGUGGGCGUCAUGCCUCAAGGGAAGAACCAACAUUUGGUAGUCUUGGCAGAUUUGAAAUAGGCCGUUGUUGAUGUCUGCAAGCCGGGCAAGUCUCCCCGGUGUGUAUGACGUCAUAUCACUAAGUCAACCUUUAAACUCAUAGCCCCUCACCCCAUCCACUACCCUUAGACAAGGGGAAAGCCUUCCUAUAAAAUAUCUAAAAAUACAACAACAAACCACAGCUUCAAGUUAAAGCAGACUGCUAACAGUGUGUCUUGUGGUAUCGUUUACAACCCCCAAACUACACUGCAAACAUCUGACGUGUGUUCUGUAAUGUUUUGACUGCUACAGCACAGGCGGAAACCCCAAAGACACUUCUCAGUUGUUUAUGCUUCAGUCAGAUGCCAUGUCUCUCUCUCUCUCUGUGUAAUUUAAAUAGACUUUUAAAGUGUAAAAAGAGUCGCUUCACUACUGACAUGAUGUACCACGUCUCACUGAUUUCAGUGUUAACUGUGGCUAACGGACAGGGAGCGUUUGCAGUGCAGUUCGGUGGUUGGGAAGGAGGAGGUGAGUUCUGUUGAAGCAGUGAGUAAAAGUUAUAACCAGAGAGUGUUGGGGGGGGGGGGCUUUGUACAAGUACUACGCAGUAUAGAAAGGGCUUUUCAAAACCAAAAUUUGAUAUUACAAUUUACAAUAUACAACAACUCAUAUGUCACAACCAAAGAGGUGAGAAUAUACACUGAAAUGAAGAAGAGUUAAGAGUUUUUUUGUUUAUAUAUA